rnacentral:rRNA from 1 species
UACGUAGGGUGCAAGCGUUAAUCGGAAUUACUGGGCGUAAAGCGUGCGCAGGCGGUUAUGUAAGACAGUUGUGAAAUCCCCGGGCUCAACCUGGGAACUGCAUCUGUGACUGCAUAGCUAGAGUACGGUAGAGGGGGGAUGGAAUUCCGCGUGUAGCAGUGAAAUGCGUAGAUAUGCGGAGGAACACCGAUGGCGAAGGCAAUCCCCUGGACCUGUACUGACGCUCAUGCACGAAAGGCGUGGGGAGCAAACAGG